rnacentral:rRNA from 1 species
UACGUAGGGUGCAAGCGUUGUCCGGAAUUAUUGGGCGUAAAGAGCUCGUAGGCGGCUUGUCGCGUCGGCUGUGAAAACCUGGGGCUCAACCCCGGGCCUGCAGCCGAUACGGGCAAGCUAGAGUUCGGUAGGGGAGACUGGAAGUUCCUGGUGUAGCGGUGAAAUGCGCAGAUAUCAGGAGGAACACCGGUGGCGAAGGCGGGUCUCUGGGCCGAUACUGACGCUGAGGAGCGAAAGCGUGGGGAGCGAACAGG